rnacentral:lncRNA from 1 species
GAAGAAUAUGCAGCUCUGAUGCUUCUUACCAGAAACAGACCACGGACCUCACACAAAGGUUUAAGGAAAGGCGGUACAAAGACAAUUGGGUAAAACAUGCCAAUAAUCAUUUUGAUGGGCUAACACACUUGGAAAGCCUUCAACCAAAAGCCUUCAACCCCUCAUCCUUUACCCGAUACUCACCAUUGGGGAAAGCAUUUUUUAAGGACAUUAUCAGGAAGCACUGGUACAUUAUUGAUAAUAACCCACAAUUGAAACCCAUCUGUAAAUAUCCCCUACGUAUGGUCUUUAAAAGACCCCAAACGGUGAUUAUCCACCAGAGAAAAGGGAAACAUAGUUGGACAAGGUUCUGGAGGGGAAAACCCGUAGAAGCCUUCAGACCUGGACUACAGCAAUAUACGGACAAGUGAGAGAGAAAAACCCGGUUGCUGUUCAUUUUGUACCAGCUGGACAUCCUAUUAGUUCUCUGAGAUACAUAGGAAUAGAAAUGGUCAAGAUGUCACGCAGCGGAGGGGACAUUGAGAGGAAACUUCUUCAAAAAGGGAAUCUUUCUGGAUCCACAGCCUCGACACACUGUCUCCUCUUGGCCUUAACGAGGAGUUCGACUUAAAACCGUUUUUAUAGUUCCAAAUAAUUGUGUUUUGUAUCCUAAUUGAAUAUUGUGUAGGCUGGAGUCAUUAAAACUCGUUUUUCAACUACUCCACAAAUUUCUUGUUAACAAACCAUAGUUUUGGCAAGUCGGUUAGGACAUCUACUUUGUGCAUGACACAAGUAAUUUUUCCAGCAAUUGUUUACAGACAGAUUAUUUCACUUAUAAUUAACUGUAUCACAAAUCCAGUGGGUCAGAAGUUUACAUACACUAAGUUGACUGUGCCUUUAAACAGCUUGGAAAAUUCCAGAAAAUUAUGUCAUGGCUUUAGAAGCUUCUGAUAGGCUAAUUGACGUCAUUUGAGUCAAUUGGAGGUGUACCUGUGGAUGUAUUUCAAGGCCUACCUUCAAACUCAGUGCCUUUUUGCUUGACAUCAUGGGAAAAUCAAAAGAAAUUAGCCAAGACCUCAGAAAAAAAAUUGUAGACCUCCACAAGUCUGGUUCAUCCCUGGGAGCAAUUUUCAAAUGCAUGAAGGUACCACGUUC